AUGUAAAUGAAUAACAAUGCUUGCCGGGAACUAUUUCUGGACUGCAGUUCAACAUCAAGCUGCUGGAACUCUGACCCCUCUGCACGACCGUGAUGUGCAGAGGCAUCGCCGGAAACCCCCAGAUGAAUGAAUCCUGACUGGCCAUUGGGUGAAAUUUGUCUGUAUACUGGGAGUGAUUUACAUCACUAACUGAGAGCAGAAGCAGGAUUCAUGGGGAUAUCGUUUGCUAUGGAUACCACAAGCAAUGGAAAGUCCAAUGGCCUUAAUUUGCACAGAAUCCUCUGAUUAAAACAACAACAAAACUUUAUGAGUUUAGAGAAGAUGAAUUUUUGAACUUCAUGUUGACAAGAGCACUCUUUUCCAUCUAGCUUCUGGCUACAACAAAGGCUCUUGGUAAGCAUGACUGAGAGAGAUCAGGGAGAAAUGAGAAGAGAAGAGAAGAGAAGAGAAGAGAAGAGAAGGAUAAUAUUCUGUAAGGAAACUAGUAUGUUCCAUUCAGAUUUAGCUGAGGUAUAAACUUCUAAAAAUCACCAUUUCCAUUUUGCCACUUGAGCUGUUCAGGAAGUCUUUGGCAGCUUGCUAAAUAUACAAAACAUAAGGUGUAGCCAUUUAAACAUACCAAAAAACCCACGCUAAAAAGACCAUUAUUUAGGUAGCAAAGUCAAGCAUUUGAAAAUUAUGGAAACCUAGGUUAGCAGUUGCCCAUACAACUUUAAUUCUGUCAACUUGUGUGUCCAUAUUCUACAAUGAAUGAGGCUGGGUCCUAUGAAAAAACAGUUUGUGAUCAGGUAAUUAAAAACUAUAUCAUAAUGCUUACUCACAAACAGGCAGAAUAAAGGUUGCAGAGGAAACCAGAAAUCUGAAAACUUUCGAGUGCUUGACUUUGUAAAGAAUGUUGUUUUUAAAUUUAGUUCUUCUAUAUGAAAUUUCCUCAGGUUUUUAUAUAUAAACCCAGGUCAUUUUGCUUCACUGUCUCCAACAUUGCUGGACAAAAUACACUGGCCAAAAUCAAGGCUUCUCUGUUUGGCUCAUUACAAGUAAUGACAUGUUGCUAUCACAUAACAUGCUAGAAACUUUUCUCUCCAGAGCAAAGAGAUUAUUUUUAAGGCAGCCACACAAAUAAUACUGUGUAAUAAACGUUGACUUUUCGCAUCAGUCUAGUUACAGGUUUAAUAGAGACCUGCAUUUAUCCCAAGGGGCAUCAGAUUCACUGGUAAAAUUAUUGCAAUAUUGGAUUGUGAAAACACAGAAGAAAUACUGACAACACAAAAAGAACUCUCUUUCCUCCCAGUACAAUUCAUAGAUGGCAGAUAAGUUCAAGAGGCAUCAGAGACCAUUUUAUUAAUGUAGCAAAGUAGACACUUUGAGUAUCAGAGAAGAAAAACAAAGCAGUAUUAAUAAACAACAAAUAAAUAAUAAACAAAUAAUAAAAAGCUUUGGGCUGUACUUGCACUCCUUUUCCUAGUUGAUCCUAAAGCAUCUAUAUUAGCUUGGCUGCAACAUAAUGAGGCAUAGAAUGCUCUGUAACAUUUCAUGAGUGUAAAGAAUAAAUUGUUGGCUUUCUACCAACACUAGAAAAUUAAGUCUGAAAUAAAUUGGAAAAUAAAACAGUUAAACUUUUCCCCAAUUCUUCUUCUGCAUUAUCUUCUCCCCCCACCCCCCCACAUAACAUACAAAUCCUUAAUUGCUAGAAAUGAACAAAACCAAACUGAGGAUUCCUGCCCUCCCUUAAGAUCAUAGUGUGGAGGAUGCAAAUAUAAUAUAUAGCAGGAAUAACAAAUGCUCUAUUUUUUCAAACACUCUCCCAUGAUUUAUGAAAGGUGUACCUCACUGUGGGAAGAUAAUGCCAUUUGAAAUGGUCCAUUUCAUAAAUCUAUCCUCCUCGUCCCUAGCUGCAUAUAGGACUACUAUGAGCUCCUGAAUCCAAUAAUGUUUUCAUCCUCUAUUGAAAAAAAAAAAAAAAAGGAACUUUGUUUGGAGCGAGGUAAUGAUGCAGUUACAGAGGAGCAGCGGCUAAAGCUUGGUCUCUGGGGCUUUCUUUGGCAAUAGCCAUACAGCUGCGAAGGAGAGGAAACUAGCAUAAACAAAAUGAAGAAAUAAUCAACACACACUACAUCCCUAAUGUCCUUUUACUGCUAGUGGCAUUAAUUAUAGCAUGUGCCUAAUCCUCUAUACUACCACAUAACCAAAUGUUUUUACAUGAAUCUUCUCCCCACCCGUGAUAGAUUUAUCAUGGGGAACCAAGCUAUUUCCUAUUCAUCUGUCCACCAGCGUAGUAUAUCUGCUUGUUUAUCUAUCUACAAGAAUGCUUCCAGAAGAGGUUUCCUUGCCAAAUGUGGUGGCAGCUGUAGUUAGGGACUAAUCAUAAACUUAACUGAAAUUCAUGGUACUGACUCUUUAUGGUUAUAACAAGGAGCGGGGAGGAAGGAGGGAAAACUAUGUUUCCAUUGAAAGAUUGUAGGGACUGAGAAGAUAACCAAUGGAUAUACCUUUAAAAAAUAAGUUAUAUUUUUGUUGAGUAGGAUCAGGAGGCAGAAUAUGGAAUGAAAAUGCUUCUUCCAGCAAAAUUUACACUCCUUCAUUACAACUAUUUUAACAGGGCUAGGAUAUAUUAUUAUUAUUAUUUAGAAAAGGCGAUGGUAGAAGCACUAGAUGUUUAUAAUUUUUUUAUAUAUACAAAAUGAUUAAUCUCGGCAAAAAUGGCAAGGGAAUUCAGAUUAACUGGGAGUUCUACUUGUAGUAGCCAUCCCAGACAUUUCCUUGUGUGGUGGCAAAACAAAUGCUGCUAAGGAAAAUUCAGAAAAUAUUGUCAAUCAAAAGGAAACUGCUGGGAAUUCUCCCAGUUUUUGGUUUUGUUAUAAAAUUGAAGCACUGCGCAAAUUCGACAAUAAUUCACAGUCUUUACAAGCAAACCCUGGUGGAUCUCACAACAAAACCAAAUGAAAUGUGGGACUUCCACUGAAUUUCACUCUAAAUGUUUUGGUUCACUUGAACUGGAAGCUCAAGGUGAAACUCAGAGGGUCAAUUCCUACCCUUCUCCCCCAGGAUUUACAUAGCUCUGUGGUCUACAAUCCUCAGUUUUAGAAGCUGAUGAACAGCCUUUGUAAAAUGAGAAAUUUCCCUGUCCUUCAUAAGAAAUUUAACAAAGUGUAUACAGGUUCUAAGCUGCCACUCUGAAUUCUGAAUUUGCAUAUUUUGACUUGUGUAUUAAAAAAGCAAUUUCAAGGUCAGUUUCUGUGGAGAAACACUGAGUUAGUAACUCCAUUAAAAGUCUACCUGUCCUUUGCAUAUUUAGUUUUCUUCUUCUAUAGUGUGCAAUGGGAUCUUAUAAAUCCAGGGUAAACAAAUAUCACAGAGAUCAUAUAUGCGCGCGUGCACGUGUGUGUGUGUAGCAAAUAUUGACUGGCUUCGAGGUGACAGCAGUAAAACAUUUCCCAAAGGGUGAAAUGUAUUUCCAAGCUUGUGGUAUACCGACCAAAGCCAUGGGCAAGUGGCAGCUAAUUCUCUCUGGGAGCAAAACAUUGUAUUGCUCUUGCACUCUUUGGGAAAAGCACAGUCUCUUUCUUCUGUGGGCCCCUGAACUUCAUUGAGGCCCUCUGGGUGCUCUCAAGUAUACAAAUAAAUUAUAGUAAAAAUAAUAACCCAUAUGUGUUUUAUUAAUGUUGAGA